rnacentral:lncRNA from 1 species
AUCCAAGAAUGCGGUACGGUUUGAUGACUGCGUGGUGGCAGGCAGCAGAAACUGAUCUAGUCAAUAAACAACUUCCAGAUGGAACAACACAUACAGAGAAAUAGGAAAAACAAAAAGAAAAAUCCAAGUAGAAUCUAAAUGUUGGGAAUUCGAACAGAGGUCAUCAAGCUAUAGUGUAGAGAAUUCAUGUUUGCAGGGUUAUAAAUCCAAAGAUAUCACUCAUAUUAAUCAAACAACAAUAUUAUUGGGAAAAAGAAUUCAUGAAGGUCGGAGAAGUCAAGUAAAACUUAAAGCUGUAUCCUAGUGGUCCCAGUCCCAGUCGCAGUCCCAGUUCCAGUUCCAGAGCUCUACCUUUGAAACAAAUUGAUUGCAAUCUAAGGAAAAGGAAAGAGGUGAGCGUGUUACAGGGUAAAACUGAAAUAGAAAAAUAAAAUAAUAAGGAUUAAACGGUGCGUUUAGUAUAGAGGGUGUUAAUGAAAAUAGUGCGUAUCGAUUUAAUGAAACGGUGCGCUUAGUAAGGAAUUAAUGAAUCGGUGCGCUUAGAGAAUAAUGGUCGUAGUUGUUAAAGGGCUGACGAACUUUUGUAAUGGCCAUUUCCUUCCCUCUUUAAACCACUACUGUAGGAGGGGGAAACAGCUAUGAAUUUGGUUGUCAAUUCAGUUUUCAUCUCUCUCUCUUGAUUCUCCUAUCUUCCUCCUUUUUUCUCUUUCGAUUUCAACCCGCAACAAAAGUAUCAGAGCUCAAAUGAUCCUCCAUAAUUGGCCAUGGGGUCACAACUCAGGUGCAAAAGAAUGUUGGUCUACUACAACAGGAGGUCACUAAGCCCCGAGGUGAACUCGCACAAUUGGAUUCUAAGUUGGAGACCAAAUUCAAGGACGUGAGUUGAGAUUUGAACUUCAUAAUUUGUUUGCGCAAUAUUUGGAGAAUCCGACCCCUGUUGUUAGUAAUGCAGUUGCUCCAACUAAGAGCAAGGGGAUUUUGGGAGCAGUAGCAAAUCUAGAGGCGGUGGCAUGGGCCCGACUCCCUAAAAUGUAAAAUUAUUAUUUAAGCUUUUAAAUUUUUUUAAAAAUUUUAAAUUAGUAAAAGUAAAAUUUUACGUUGACCCUUAAAAUUAUAAAAGUUUGAUUUAAUCUUUUUAAAAAUUAUAAAUAUAUAGACUAUAAAAAAUUAAAAUUUUAGUCGGCCCCCCUAAAAGAUUGUUCUGACUUCGCCCUGUUUGGGAGAGGAUUCACCUGAAUUUACUCCAAAAAUAUCCACUUGAAGCCCCCACUGGUGGCCCAUCUCAUGAUCCCUUGUUAGAUAUGGGGAGUGCGGGUAUGCAGUCUCGAUUGGAUCAAUUUGACGGUCUUGGUGGAUCUCAUAAGCUUGAUUGCCCUCGAUUCGAUGGGACAGAUUUUCGAGGUUGAUGGUCUAAACUUGAACAGUAUUUUGAUGUAGAGGGAGUGCCAGACAAUGCUAAAGUUCGCACAAUAAUGCUUCACCUUGAAGGAAGGGCAUUGGACUUGCAUCAUUUUUACACUUACAGGGGGGUUGCACAAGCUGAACUGGACCUGUUAUACUCGUAGCCUGCAGGAGAGGUUUGGAUCCAGCCUCUUUCAAGAUCCAAUGGCUGAGUUAGUCACCUUGAAGCAGCAAGGAACCGUGGAGCGAUAUCAUGAUGCAUUUCUCAGUUUGUUGAAUCAGCUGCAACUGCCCGAGUCAUAUGCAUUGAGUAUCUUCACCAGCAAUCUGAAAUUGGAAAUUGGACGGUAUCUACAGUUGUUUAAGCCUCAAUCCUUAGUUGAGGGCUUCCAGAUCGCGAGACAAGUGGAGACUAUCCUUCUCCAUUCUCAGAAGAGGACUCUUUUUCCUAGUGUUGGUAGUUUUCCUCGAUCUCUGCCUGUGCCUUCUCACUCUACUUCACCUGGUAAAUCAAUUCUCCCACCAAUAGCAGUUGUUUAAAGAGGGAAGGAAAUGACCGUUGCAAAAGUUCGUUAGCCCUUUAACAGUUAAGACCGUUACUCCCUAAGUGCAUUGUUUCUUUAAUUUCUUCCUAAGUGCAGUGUUUCAUUAACUGAUAUGUAUCGUUUUCAUUAACACCCUACAUACUAAAAACAAUGUUUAGUCAUUAUUUCAGUUUCCUAAUUUUAGUUUUACCCCGUAAUAGAGCGGAGUUAUAAUAUGAUCCCAUGGCGCUUCAAUUCUUUUGAAAAGCUAAUCAAAUACAGCUUUUCAUUUUUCGUAGGAUUAAUGGGGCAAAGAAAAAGAAAGCCAAGAAAUUGUUUCCCCUAGUAGUUGAUUGAGCUCAGCCCAAAAACUGUGGCCACACCCAUGGCGAUGUGAGAUUUGGCUUCAUCACUUGAAAUCCUACAACAUUAAAUUAAAUUACAAUCAAACGAAAUGGCAACAUAUUUGGUCGGAAUCUUCCUGCAGCACUUUGGAAGUACGUAAAAAUUACUUACGUCGCCCACCCCGUUUUAGGACCAGCAUUGAGUAAAAGGAACAAAACUUAUAUUUAUUAGUUGGUCGUUCUUAUUUAGUUAUAUAUGAAAAUAUGUUUCUCUUAUCCUGCGAUAAGUUACUCAUCUCAUCCUUUAACCCUUUAACCACCCUUUAACCAUGAGGUUGAAGAUCUCUGCUCAUGAAAAUAAAAUACAUUUUGCUAUUUGCAAUGAGAAUAAUCAUUGUUGUGAUUACUAUCAUUAAUAAGCUUUACUCAAAAGAUGAAGAUAACAAUAGCAGCAAAACCCAUAAGCAGACAUGCGCAGCAUAUUCACAAGUUAAUCAUAAUUAGCAAUGGCGACCAUGUUUUCAUCACAAAUGAAGACACACAUUCAUCUAUACAGCAAAGCCAUGUCAAAGCAUUUACUUCAUAACUUAAUAUUAUCUCUUCAUCCAAUGAACAAAUCUCCUGAAAAUGGUUAGAUGAAGACAGGUGGAGAUGAUAGGCAACCAAAUAAUGAUGUGGAAUAAAAGAAAAACAUUGCAGAUAAUGAACGCAUUCCAUUACAUAAAAGUAAAUCAUAAAAUUGUUUAUGCCAAAACCUACAUUGAGAAACUGCAAAACACUUCUUAAAAAGGUUAAUGUAGGCACCAAACAUACAACUGCAAAACAAUUUGAGUUCCUACUAAAAGGAAAUGUUUUAAAACCUCAUCACCUACGGCUCUACUGCACCUUUGCUUUUUUUCUUCUUUUUUUUCUUUUCGCUUUUAUCAUCCCCUGCACCAUUAACAGCAACAGGAGUUUCCUCGCUCUCCUUGCUCUUCUUCUUCUUCUUCUUCUCAGACUUCUCUGUAUCUGGUGAAGAAGCUUCAACCUUAUCCUUGUUCUUCUUCUUUUUUUCCUUCCCAACCUUCUCUUCAGUUUCAGCAUCAGCAUCCUCUUCACUCUUCUUAUGUUUCUUCUUCUUUUUCUCUUUCUUCUCAACUUCAGCUUCACCUUCCUCAACCUUGGCUUUCUUAGCAACAACCGGAGCAGGGCUAUCACUGCUGUCAUCCAAUUUGCGCUUGCGCCCCUCUCCAUCUUCCUUUUCCUUUUCCACCACCGCAGGUUCAGCAGAAGCUGCUAGGCUGGCAACCAUAGAAUCCCCACCAGUUGGCAACGCGACAUUUCUCAACCACUCUUUAGGAGUGCUGUCAUUUGGCUUUCCAUGCUUAUCCAAUUUGCCCUCUGCAAUCAAUUUCUUCUUCAUGGAUGCAGUUGGCCCCAAGCCCCACUUCCUCGGAUAAGUAUCCCUGUCCAUAACUACCCUCUUAAUCUUUGCCACCACACCGUGAUCACAAGUAGCCAUAACCGCAGUGGUCAUUUCAGCAAUUCCCAGAGCAAUUGCCUCUCCUUUCGUCGUCAUUAACACAACUUCCUCCCCAACUUCAAUGUCAUUCUCAAACCUCAGUAAUCCAGGAAUCAUC